rnacentral:tRNA from 1 species
ACAGUGGUGGUUCAGUGGUAGAAUUCUUGUCUUUCAUGUAGGAGACCCAGGUUCGGAUUCUGGCCAAUGCU